AGUGCAUCAAUUUUCCUCAGUUUGAUCAUAAACAUUAGAAUUUAUAAGGAAUGGACAUGACACGGUACUGACAUGGUAACUUAAGAUAUUAAACAACAAGUGCAUCAAUUUUCCUCAGUUUGAUCAUAAACAUUAGAAUUUAUAAGGGGGGCUUCGUCCCCUUACCUCACGGGUGCUUCGCUCCUCGACACCAAGCCGCGAGGAACGGGUGAGUUUGGAGAAGGGAGAUUAGGGGCAGAUAAAUUCGGAGCGGUUAGAUUUGGAACGAUUUUUUACAGUCAUUCUUCUUAUUCGGUUCAUUUUUAUUUAUUUUUUCCUAAUUAAGCCAAAUCCGCUGUUAAAUCGCGGCGCCACGGAAAUCGUACUCUCCCUGUGCUAAAGUAGACACACUGUUUAAGACCAGUCGGCAUUUUAUAAGCUCGAUAGAAUUCAGGAAAAGGUAAAAUGUCGAAAAACUAUUAUAAUAUGCUUAGUUUCUGAUAUUUCGAUAAUUUCAAUCAACAAAAUUAGCAAGAUGCCGAUCUGUGGUCAGAUUUAGUAACACAUUCUCUCUGAAUUAUGCAAUAAUACCAAUACAUCAAAGAAAAGUGAGUAAAUAAGAGAAUAUCGCUUAUAUAAACGCUAGUGUAGCAGCAGAUCUUAAUGGAGCUUUGUCUAUUCACCACAUAGAACCAUUUCUACAAAUUGAUGAUUGCCUAUACCUUUAUGAAAUGCUAUAGGUAUAGAAACUGGAGCCACGACAUUAUAAUAUGCGUUGAUAAAUGAAAUUGCCGCUUAUGGAGUGUAACCAUUCCAAAAGAGAUCCUAAAUACUCCAUUAGAUUCAGAUAAAUACAGCAAUUGAUUCAAUUUAUACGUUAGUGGAAUCAUUAGAUCACAUUUCUUCAAAAAUGACGCCAGAUUUUACGUUAUAGUCAAAGUAGAUCUCAUCGCAUCAUAACUGAUAAAUUUUUGUUUGGAAAUAUAAAUGACAUUGGUUCGAGUAUCAUUUGGUUUCACCUUAUCGGUGCUACGUACCAUACGUUGACCGUAACCAAUGAAAUUGAAAUUUGGAGAGAAGUUGAUUUCGAAAAUUCUCAAUUGGCAUUUGAAGUCGUACGCUUCAACAUCACUCGAUUAUUUCUUGUGAGGUUAUGUCAAUUUUCUGGUUGAUACUGAUUAAUGACCAACAAUGCUCCAAAAAGUGACACUAAAUUAGUACUGCAUAUUGAUCUUUGGAUUGAAAGAAUCUUAUUCAAAUUCUUCUGAUGUUUUUAUCUUUCCAAUUUCUAUCAAGCUUGGAAAAAUUGAGUGAAAUUUUUUAUUACAGUUAUCUUUAGAGAGUAAACUAAAAUAGGAUCGUAUCUUUUACUUUUCUUUAUAUUCCAAAUUAUGGGAACAUCGUACAAAUGAUAAUACAAGUGAAACUUGUAUUAUCAUGAAGUUCCAUGAAGAUCCUAUGAGUAAUUUCUUCACACACAGAACUUUCAUAUUUUCAGACGAUUGUUUUAUUGAAUCUGAUAUUUUCUAAUUAUAGUCUCUUUCAUCAACUGUGUAUAUAGUGGCUCUCGAAAAUUUAUUAGUUUUAAGUGAAUAUAAAUUGAUCCACUAUGAUUCAUAUAUGUUUAAUUGGGUAUAUUCUGAGGUAACGUAUAAUUAUACGGGGCUCAAUAUAAAAACAAUUUCUUUAAUUUCUCAUUUCUUAGACCUUCUGAUAUACAAUUAUAAAUGAUCGCAAAUUGGAAAUUGAACCAAUUUUUUAGAGACAUUUUACGAGAAAAUUGGAAGUUUUCGUUUUGUCAAUUUAAUAAACAAUAUAAACAGUAUAGAAUAGAGCAUUAAAUGAUAUACGCUGAGUAACAUUCCAGAAGGACUUUUGAAGACUUUGAAGGCCAUUUCCCAGUAUUGAAAAUUCUUUUUUAGGCCGAUUAGAAAAUAUAUAAAGUGGGUGAAUGAUAGAAGGCCAUUCUAAUUAGUGAACUCAUUUCUUUCCUUCAUUCACUGGAUGUAUUUUUCUAUUCUCAUCUAAUUUUAAUCACUUAAGUUUUAUAAAGCUCUUCCAGAUGGUCUUGCAAGGAACACGGCCCAAACAAUGCCAAUAUUCAGUCGUUAAACUUUAAAAUAAAGUUGUACCAAUAAAUAUAUUGGCUCUCAUUAAAACUAUAUGAUGAGCUCUAUCAUUCAAGCGAAAAAUUAAAUUCUCAAUAUAUUUUUAUCAUCUAUUAAAAAUUCAACAAAUAUCAUCGUAUAAUAAUAUAUGUAUUAAUGAGAUUUAUUUAAAAAUAGUAAUACCUGCCAACGUGUUUUAUAAUGAAAUUAAAAACUAACCUCACCAAAAUGGAAUUCUUAUGAGUCCAUUCUUCAUACGACCAGAAUGUUCCUAGGAAGGCCAAACUAACAAUUAUGACUUCACCUCCAUCAUAUUAAUUAUAAUAAAAUAAUAGCAACUACAGACUUGUUGUCAGGAAUAUCUUGUAACUAUUUUAUGUAUACGAGGGUUGCUACUCAAGAUUUGAGAUAAACAUAUUGUUUUUCAAAAUUUGUUCCAUUAAGAUCAAUACACUGUUGCAUUUGAACCAAAACAUUUUUUCCAUUCCGAUUGAGGUACAUCCAAAACAUGUUAUUCUUCAGGUGUAGGACUUUGACUUCAUAAUUUAUUGUUGUUGAUCUGCGGGAAUAAGAAGGAAUCAUUGGGUGCCAAACAAUAUUUGGUGGCCGACGAAUUCGAUGUUUUGACUGUUUUUGUUUGAACUGAUUUGUGAGAACUCGCAUUGUCCUGGUGGAGUUCACAUGCAUUGAUCCAUUAUUCGUAGCCUGUAAAAAUCUCAUACACGUUUUUGGAACCACUGCUAUUGAAAGUUUAGCAUUUCGAUAUCAUAUUAUGCGGUAUUCAACGCGAACAAAUCUUUUUGACAGCCAAAGGUUUAUGCAGAAUUGAAUGUAUGCGAGUGGAGCUGAUGCCAAGAAUGCCUCACAUUUACGACUCAAAGAUAAAUUAUUUCCAGAUAUCAACAGACAGAGUCAGACAGGGCUGUAUACUGUCACCACUACUUUUCAAUUUAUACUCGAAACAUGUAUUCCGAGAGGACUUUGGUGAAGAUGUUGAAUAAGGUAUAAAAAUAAAUGGGGUGACCGUAUAAACUUCCGAUACGCCGAUAACACUGUCCUCGUAGCUGACUCAAUGGAAGGCUUAGAAAAGUUAUUAGAUCAAAUGAAUGAGAAAUGUCAGGAGCAUGGAAUAAAGCAUAAUACCAAAAAGACUAAGUACAUGAUCAUUCUUUUGUAUGGUGUGGAAACAUGGACAUUGACGGAAGCAGCUCUUGAAAAGCUCGAAGCUUUCGAAGUGUGGGCAUAUAAGGGUAUGCCUCGAAUCAGCUGGCAGGGUAGAAGUUAUGGUGCAAAUGAGAUAGAAGAGACAUUUUAAGAUCUGUUAAGACCAGUAAAUUAAAGUAUAAUGCAUCUUAUCAUCCAGGGAAAAAUAGAAGGAAAACGGAUUCGUGGAAGAAGAAGAACAUCAUGGUUGAGAAAUUUACGUCAGUGGUUCGGUUUGAGAACUAGCUCACUCUUCCGAGCUGCACCGAACAAAAACCAGCAAAUCACGGUAGCUUAAGAUGGUACUUCAUCAACAAAAGUCGAAGCGAGGUUAUCGACAUACUGCUGUUGAUUUAAUCCACGUGAAUCCACCAUAGAAAAUCAUCGUUCGGAAAUGUUUCAAGUAUUCAACUCAAAUGGUACUUUAUGAUAGCAGUAUCAGAUUUGACAUAUUCACAUUGGUGUUGUCAUAUGUCAAAACUUAAGUACCUACCCUCAACACAAGACUUGUUAUUUUUUCCUGUUCGGUAAACAUAGUUGAAUUUUCAAAACUACCUUCAAUCAUAACAAUGAGAAAUAAUUCAUGACAUUAAAAGACAAUGAACUACAUUUGUAACGUAAACAUUUUUUUAAUAAUUUCCACCGACUGUAAUUUUGUAACUAUUAUACGAAAAAUUACGUGUGUUUGAUAAUUCUCAAUUUGAUAUUGUCAAUACAGUAGAUGAUAGAAAAGUUGACCGUGAAAACCCAUCAAUAUUUUACGUUAUCUCAUAAUUUAUCUUCUAGAUUUGAUAAUAACAUUAUAGUGCUGUAAAUAAAUAAUUUGUUAUAUAUUUACCGUCCAAUAUUGAAUCAGAGUUCAUUUGAAUGUUUUUUAUGAAUCAUGUUUGAUUAUUGAAUUAUGAUUAAAUAAUUUUUGUCCCGAGUCUCAAAACUUGUGAUGAUUACUUUUUAGUCUAAAUCAUUCCAAAAAUUUGAAAUAAUGUGGAUCUAUAUUUUACUUAUACUCCAUUUUCCAUACAACUGAAUUUUCACACUUCGAAAAUUGAUUGUAUGCGAAAUGUAAUUGAAAUAAAAAUUUUGUUAUAAUAAAAAAUACAUUUAGUUCCAAAUUAGCGCACUACGAUAUUAUUUUUGCAAUUUUGAAAAUGAUAAUAGUUUUUAUUUCGAUAUAAACUCGUUCUGUAAUAUCUAUUUCGUCAUAUUAAGUAUUUAAUACUGAAUUAGUAUUGAUAGUAUAAGGUUUGCAUUCUAAUUAUUCUAUACUGCAUAAAAAGUGCACAGGAAUAGUUUUUUAUGGAUCGAGGCACUGAAGUCAUACUUUUUGUCACCACGCUGCAGAUAAGUUGCCGAGGCAACUAACCAUGCAAGUUAGUGUCGCGUUGCAUAUUAUAUUUUUUCCGAAAUCGCCCAGAUUCAGAAAUAUUUGAGAAAAUAUUUGGAAUUGAAGGGAGCAAAAUAGGUUAUGAAUAAAAUAAUUAUUUUUAAAAAAUAUGCAUGAAAAUCUUAUUCCUUUUCAUUCGUUUAUAUUAAUGGUAAUUGAACAGUUUGAAUUAUUUGUAAUGUGAAAAGUUUGUGAGCUGGUUGACGUGUAAUCGACUGCAGUCAAACAUGAAGCGGAGGGCAGUAUAAUUAAUUCAGUGUCUAGGCACUGAAGAGCGAUUUCACUACCGAUUUCAAUCGAGCAAUCGAUCAAAAAAUUGUGUGUGUCAGCUCCGACGCACGACUGGAGUUUACUCCUUAAGUUCGAUAGUCUAACCAGAUGCAAAAAGAGUUUAUUUAACUUAAAAAAGAUUGGUUGAUUGCCGGAAUAUUUUGGGCUUCCUUCAUUAAUUUUUUUUUAAUCUGUAAGCUCGCUGUCUCUCGGCUGGAGUUUUUGGAGGUUUAGAUUUUUUCCUAAUCAAAAAAUAUAAA